rnacentral:rRNA from 1 species
UAGAGUUUGAUCCUUGGCUCAGAUUGAACGCUGGCGGCAGGCCUAACACAUGCAAGUCGAACGGUAGCACAGAGAGCUUGCUCUCGGGUGACGAGUGGCGGACGGGUGAGUAAUGUCUGGGAAACUGCCUGAUGGAGGGGGAUAACUACUGGAAACGGUAGCUAAUACCGCAUAAUGUCGCAAGACCAAAGAGGGGGACCUUCGGGCCUCUUGCCAUCGGAUGUGCCCAGAUGGGAUUAGCUGGCUGGUGAGGUAAUGGCUCACCAGGGCGACGAUCCCUAGCUGGUCUGAGAGGAUGACCAGCCACACUGGAACUGAGACACGGUCCAGACUCCUACGGGAGGCAGCAGUGGGGAAUAUUGCACAAUGGGCGCAAGCCUGAUGCAGCCAUGCCGCGUGUAUGAAGAAGGCCUUCGGGUUGUAAAGUACUUUCAGCGAGGAGGAAGGCGGUAAGGUUAAUAACCUUACCGAUUGACGUUACCCGCAGAAGAAGCACCGGCUAACUCCGUGCCAGCAGCCGCGGUAAUACGGAGGGUGCAAGCGUUAAUCGGAAUUACUGGGCGUAAAGCGCACGCAGGCGGUCUGUCAAGUCGGAUGUGAAAUCCCCGGGCUCAACCUGGGAACUGCAUUCGAAACUGGCAGGCUGGAGUCUUGUAGAGGGGGGUAGAAUUCCAGGUUGUAGCGGUGAAAUGCCGUAGAGAUCUGGAGGAAAUACCGGGUGGGCGAAAGCGGCCCCCUGGACAAAGACUGACGCUCAGUGCCGAAAGCGUGGGGAGCAACAGAUUAGAUACCCCUGGUAGUCCACGCCGUAA